UUAGUGGCAUGACUUUUCCAUUAGGUGGUGCUACGGCUUUUUCGGUAGCUCUGCGUAUUUUUCCCAUCUUCGUUAUGUUUGCAGCUGCGACCUGGGAUGCUACAGACAGACACUCAGCGGCAACGUUUAGAUGCCUCCGUUAAACCUCUCACAUCUGGCUUGCCAAUCACAGAAAAAGACGAACACAUCCACCUCAAAUCCGACAGAAAUAAACCCACCUGCUGUGUCAAAAGGCUCCAAAGCUGUCUGCCUUCACAUGUGUUUGCUGAGAUUCUGCACUUGAAGAGGAACUAGGAAAGCAGACUCCUGCAGACAGGCAGCUCAGUGAUGUUGCUUUUCAUGGCAUGAUGGACUGGCCUUAUCAGUGGCCAUUCUGGCAAUGCUGACAGACUGAAGGGGGCGAUCUGAUCUGUUGUUUUGUUUUGAUCUCCUCAGACUUCUUAUCUCCAAGUAAGUUGGUUGGAAUCCAGCCGCAGACGUAACUUCCAGAGAGAAGACGACACGCAAUGGCUACAGGGCAUUCCACACACACCAGAUCCAGGGAGCGGCCCACGUCAGACGAUCAUCUUUCUGCUUCAUACACCGCCGACAGAGCUGUCGUCAGAGGGCUUUACCAGCGGUGUCUGUGAAACCUGAGAGUUGCUGGACAGGCUUCACACUGGGGGGCAAGAGGUGAGGGAGAGAUGGGUUAGUACCGUUGAAGAGGUAAUGCACACCUCAAGUAGUAGGGAAACCGUGGCUUGGUGGCUAGCCACAGGGCUGCAUGAGUGUGAGGAAAGCCAACCCGCGGCCUCUAAGAGGAUCAGAUUUCCUCACAACUUGUUGCCCAAUGCUAUAUAAACUCUGGCAUGCGGUCUUGACACCUGAUCUGGACUAAAAGAGCCGCUGGAGAGCUUCUUUGCACCCACCGUGUCCCCUGCUCUUUCAAGUCCACUGGCCACCUCCUUUAGCCCAGACCAACCCACUGGCAUGGUCAUCCUCACUGGGGCCCCAAGUGGACCUUCACAAUCACCACACAGCUCACACUCAGUCAUCACUGCUCUGCUAAUGAGGCGCUCAAGGGACAGUCUGCCAUCACUAAAGGAACACUGUGGGACCAGGGAGUUCCCUUUAACUACUAAGGGAACCUCCCUCCUCAACUUUAAUGAGUCCCUGAUGUGUGACAGCUGUCCAUCUGCCUGCCAAAUACUCCAAUGUGAACCGAGAUAUGAUAUCAUGUUAGACAGGCCCACACACAAUCACAGAAGUUGAGUGUUGCUCUGAAAUGGAGAUUUAAAGGGCCAGUCCACCAAUUUUACACAUGAAGAUCAGUUUACUUUUCAUGGGGAGUACUACUCAUUAUGUGACAGCUAUGUAGUGUUUUCUGAGGCUCUGCAGGAAGAGGCUCAAAGUCUGAAAAAAGCUCUGAUGAUUAGGGUUAUCUCAUUAGGGUUAUUGAAGACUACUUUUGAACAAAAAGCAAAUUUUGAAAGAGUAGAAUGAAAGAUGCUAUCAAAUCUCAUUGCAUUAUGGCAAAUGUAGAAUCUAGAGUUUUUGGAGCUUGACCCAUACUAAGGACUAAAGUCAGGAUAGCUCAGCAUCUGCUGGAUCUGUUGAAAAUCCCCAAACUUAUGCAAGCGCAAUUCUAAAUCACUGGAGUACCCCUUUGAGGUGUUCGCAUGACACUCAUACUUCUACAUAUGUGGUAAUGUUUAAUA